CAGAGUUAUGACCGCCUGGUUGCAGCUCGUUCCUAAAUUAGCUGCGCCUUUGCUGGGUCCGAAACCCAGAUGAUAGGCUCCGUGGUGGUCUUAAAAUAUAUCCACAAAUUCUCUGACAUCCUCUCUUCAAGAAGUGGAGCUUAAUUCCCUUUCCUUUGAGUGCAGACCACUCCGGGAGAAACCAACAGCUAUGUCAUGGGGAAAUUCAAACCACCUAUGGAGCGAGGCUCACAUGAAUUCUGCAAGUCUGCUACAGUGACAUUUCUGGUUAGGAGUCAGUGUGGAUGGGGCACUGAGCAAUAAGAAUGAAUGAAGAUGGCUGAAGCUGGAGUUUUUCUCUGAAGCAACCACCUGUUGGAAACUUCAUGUCGAAGAUGCCUGAGUAAUACGACAGAGGGAGUCUGGGUCCCUGGUAGAUAUUCCAGAUCUGGGUGUUCAUGGUGAUAUGAGAAAGCAGUAAACUUCAGUUUUGCCUAAAUAGCUGUUACUUGGGGCAUUCUGUCAUUUACGGACAAAUCUGACCUGGAUUAAUACACCUCCGCUGGGUACCAAGACUGAUCUAAUAGUCAAAAAGGUUUCAUUCCGUCUAGAUGUUUCUCUAGAACAGGACCUAAAGAAGUUCUUUAGCUGAAUUUCUU